GACGAACGCUGGCGGCGUGCCUAAUACAUGCAAGUAGAACGCAGUUGCGAACGGGUGAGUAACGCGUAGGUAACUGCCUGGUAGCGGGGGAUAACUAUUGGAAACGAUAGCUAAUACCGCAUACUACCAGAUGGACCUGCGUUGUAUUAGCUAGUUGGUGGGGUAACGGCUCACCAAGGCAACGAUACAUAGCCGACCUGGGAGGGUGAUCGGCCACACUGGGACUGGGAAACGGCCCAGAAUCCGACGGGAGGCAGCAGUAGGGAAUCUUCGGCAAUGGGGGGAACCCUGACCGGGCAAAGCCGGGUGAGUGAAGAAGGUUUUCGGAUCGUAAAGCUCUGUUGGUAAGGGAGCGGUACUUAACCAGAAAGGGACGGCUAACUACGUGCCAGCAGCCGCGGUAAUUC
rnacentral:rRNA from 1 species